UCGGGAAUUUUGGGCAAUGGGCGAAAGCCUGACCCAGCAACGCCGCGUGAGGGAUGAAGUAUUUCGGUAUGUAAACCUCGAAAGAAUGGGAAGAAUAAAUGACGGUACCAUUUAUAAGCUCCGGCUAACUACGUGCCAGCAGCCGCGGUAAUACGUAGGGAGCAAGCGUUGUUCGGAUUUACUGGGCGUAAAGGGCGCGUAGGCGGCGCGGUAAGUCACUUGUGAAAUCUCUGAGCUUAACUCAGAACGGCCAAGUGAUACUGCUGUGCUAGCGUGCGGAAGAGGCAACCGGAAUUCUUGGUGUAGCGGUGAAAUGCGUAGAUAUCAAGAGGAACACCUGAGGCGAAGGCGGGUUGCUGGGCCGACACUGACGCUGAUGCGCGAAAGCCAGGGGAGCAAACG
rnacentral:rRNA from 1 species